rnacentral:rRNA from 1 species
GAUGAACGCUGGCGGCGUGCCUAAUACAUGCAAGUCGAGCGAACAGACGAGGAGCUUGCUCCUCUGACGUUAGCGGCGGACGGGUGAGUAACACGUGGAUAACCUACCUAUAAGACUGGUAUAACUUCGGGAAACCGGAGCUAAUACCGGAUAAUAUAUUGAACCGCAUGGUUCAAUAGUGAAAGACGGUUUUGCUGUCACUUAUAGAUGGAUCCGCGCCGCAUUAGCUAGUUGGUAAGGUAACGGCUUACCAAGGCAACGAUGCGUAGCCGACCUGAGAGGGUGAUCGGCCACACUGGAACUGAGACACGGUCCAGACUCCUACGGGAGGCAGCAGUAGGGAAUCUUCCGCAAUGGGCGAAAGCUUGCCGGAGCAACGCCGCGUGAGUGAUGAAGGUCUUCGGAUCGUAAAACUCUGUUAUUAGGGAAGAACAAAUGUGUAAGUAACUAUGCACGUCUUGACGGUACCUAAUCAGAAAGCCACGGCUAACUACGUG